GCUCCGUAGGUGAACCUGCGGAGGGAUCAUUACAGAGUUCAUGCCCUACCGGGUAGAUCUCCCACCCUAUGUUAUUAUUACUUUGUUGCUUUGGCGGGCCGUUAGGCUCCGGCCCGACUACCGGCCCCGGCUGGUAAGCGCCCGCCAGAGGACCCAAAACCCUGAAUAUUAGUGUCGUCUGAGUACUAUAUAAUAGCUAAAACUUUCAACAACGGAUCUCUUGGUUCUG
rnacentral:misc_RNA from 1 species